rnacentral:lncRNA from 1 species
ACUUAUUGCCCCAGAUUAAAUCUUAGUGCUCCUCACUCUUUGCGUCUACGCUGCUUUUAUGAACUGUUAACACUCACUGUGAAGGUCUGCAGCUUCACUCCUUAAGCCAGCGAGACCACAAACCCACUGGGAGGGAUAAACAACUCCAGACGGGAGGAACAAACAACUUCGGGUGCACCACCUUUAUGAACUGUAGCACUCACUGUGAAGGUCUGCAGCUUCACUCCUGAGGCCAGCAAGACCACGAACCCACCAGAAGGAACGAACAACUCCAGAUAUGCCACCUUUAAGGGCUAUAACACUCACCGCGGAAGUCUGCAGCUUCACUCCUGAAGUCAGUGAGACCAUGAACCCACCAGAAGGAAGAAACUCUGGACACAUCUGAACAUCUGAAGGAACAAACUCUGGACACACCAUCUUUAAGAACUGUAACACUCACCGCGAGGGUACACGGCUUCAUUCUUGAAGUCAGCGAGACUAAGAACCCAACAAUUCCGGACACAGCAUGAUCUUGGUUCACUACAACCUGGAUCUCCCAGAGUCAAGCAAUCCUCUCGUCUCAGUCUCCCAAGUAGCUGGAACUACAGGUGUGUGCCACCAUGCCCCACUAAUUUUUGUAUUUAUUGUAGAGACGGUUUCAGCAUGUUGCCCAGGCUGGUCUCCAACUCCUGGACUCAAGUGAUCCUCUCCACCUAGGCCUCCCACAGUGCUGGGAUUACAGGAAUGAGCCACCACGCCCGGCCUAAUUGGAAGUUUUAGAGUGCAGUGGGGAUCACGUGCGUAGAGGUUACUGCUGCCUUAAUUAAAGGAGACAACAUGUUUCAUAAAACUUGGAAAUUGUAGAGGGUGUGGGGAACCACUCAAAUUCAGAAUAUCAAAACAGAACUUUAUUUUUUGUGUAUUUGUUGCCAAUCUUUUUCCCUACAUAUGUAAUGUUUGUUUGUUUGACAUGACUACCAUUUCUGUUUUCAUAAUAUGUUUAAUACUUUUCCUCCACUUAACAAACAUGGCUACGAUUUGCCAAGUUGCUGAUCAUCCUUUUUUUUUUUUUUUCGAGACAGAGUUUCACCCUUGUUGCCCAGGCUGGAGUGCAGUGGCAGAUCUCAGCUCACUACAACCUCUGCCUGCUGGGUUCAAGUGAUUCUCCAGCCUCAGCCUCCCAAGUAGCUGGGAUUACAGGUACCCGCCACCACUCCUGGCUAACUUUUGUAUUUUUAGUAGAGACAGAGUUUUGUCAGGUUGGCCAGGCUGGUCUCAAACUCCUGACCUCCAGAGAUCCACCCGCUUCAGCCUCCCAAAGUGCUGGGAUAACAGGCGUGAGCCACUGAACCUGGCCCAGAUCAUCCUUUUAAGUGUUCUUUUUCAUUUGUAGGUUUAACAUUGGCUUUGGGGUGAGAAAGAAACCAAGACUCACCCAGAGUCAUAAGCCCAACAAGAGAAUGGGUCUGUCUGGGCUAGCCCUGGGCUACUGGAUGAGCAGGGUUGGCCUUUUCAUUCUCUGAGUCUUCGUUUCUCUGGCCUUUACAUUUCUCUGGAGGGACUUUUCAUUUUCUCUGGAAACCAACUCCAAGUGCACUUUUCCAGAAGGCAUUUUUGUAAUGCCUGGUUGGCUGCAUGCGACCUCUGGUUUUCCUCCUUCACCCUUUCCUGCUCAGUCACUGCAUUUUCUGUUCUCAAAAGAACCCUCUCAUAUAGCACGUGCAGAGAGCAGUAGCGAGUCAGGCUGUCCCGCGGUGUGUGUCCGGACUCCUGUGUGCUCUGGCAGUGGGGCCAGUGGGCUGGGAAGAGUUGCAGGAGAAACCCAGUGGGAGAGAAAGACUCCAACCUGGGAACCUCGGGGCAUCUGGUAGCGCCAGAAUGACUUUCCAAAAUUUUGGUUGGGGCAGUCACAGGCCCCUGCUCGCCACGGUGGCCUCUGGCAAAGAAACACAUGUGGGGCAGACAAGAGGGAUGCUCGCCAAUCUCCUCUGAAUUUUGCAACCCUGUGUGUUAAAAACAGGUAUUUCUGGUCUUUAAAGACACUUGGAAAAGACAGACUUGUUGAAUACUUAGAAAGGCCAAGCCACAGCCAGAAGCUUGGUGUCUGGGAUCCAUCAUCUCUAAGGUUUUAAAAGCAUCUUGCUGGAAUAGGAACAGCUCCGGUCUGCAGCUCUCAGCAAGACCAACACAGAAGAUGGGUGAUUUCUGCAUUUCCAGCUGAGGUACCUGGUUCAUCUCAUUGGGACUAGUUGGACAGUGGGUGCAGCCCAUGGAGGGCGAGCCAAAGCAGGGCAGGGCAUCGCCUCACCUGGGAAGUGCAAGGGGUCAGGGGAUUUCCCUUUCCUAGCCAAGGGAAGCCGUGACAGACUGUACCUGGAGGAACAGUACACUCCUGCCCAAAUACUGGGCUUUUCCCAUGGUCUUCACAACUGACAGACCAGGAGAUUCCCUCCCGUGCCUGGCUCGGUGGGGCUCAUGCCCAUGGAUCCUUGCUUACUGCCAGUGCAGCAGUCUUAAGAUUGGCCUGGCAUGCUGCAGCUUGUUGGGGGGGUGGGAGGGCGUCCGCCAUUCCUGAGGCUUGAGUAGGCAGUUUUAUGCUCACAGUGUAAACAGGCCGGGAAGCUUGAACUGGGUGGAGCCCACUGCAGCUCAGCAAGGCCUACUGCCUCUCUAGAUUCCACCUCUGUGGGCAGGGCAUGUCAGAACAAAAGGCAGCAGACAGCUUUGGCAGACCUAAACGCCCCUGUCUGACAGUUCUGAAGAGAGCAGUGGUUCUCCCAGCAUGGCAUUUGAGCUCCGAAAAUGGACAGACUGCCUCCUCAAGUCGGUCCUUGACCCCCGUGUACCCUGACUGGGAGACACCUCCCAGUAGGGGCCAACAGACACCUCACACAGGCAGGUGCCCCUCUGGAACAAAGCUUCCAGAGGAAGGAUCAGGCAGCAAUAUUUGCUGUUCUGCAGCCUCCGCUAGUGAUAUCCAGGCAAACAGGGUCUGGAGUGGACCUCCAGCAAAUUCCAACAGACCUGCAGCUGAGGGUCCUGACUGUUAGAAGGAAAACUAACAAACAGAAAGGAAUAGCAUCAACACCAACAAAAAGGACAUCCACACCAAAACCCCAUCUGUAGGUCACCAACAUCAAAGACCAAAGGUAGAAAAAACCACAAAGAUGGGAAGAAACCAGAGCAGAAAAGCUGAAAAUUCCAAAAACCAGAUUGCCUCUUCUCCUCCAAAGGAUCACAGCUCCUCACCAGCAAGGGAACAAAACUGGAUGGAGAAUGAGUUUGACAAGUUGACAGAAGUAGGCUUCAGAAGGUUGGUAACAAACUUCUGCGAGCUAAAGGAGGAUGUUCAAACCCAUCGCAAGGAAGCUGAAAACCUUGAAAAAAGGUUAGACAAAUGGCUAACUAGAAUAAACGGUAUAGAGAAGACCUUAAAUGACCUGAUGGAGCUGAAACCCAUGGCACGAGAACUACAUGACUCAUGCACAAGCUUCAGUAGCUGAUUCAAUCAAGUGGAAGAAAGGGUAUCAGUGAUUGAAGAUCAACUCAAUGAAAUAGAGCAAGAAGACAAGAUUAGAGAAAAAAGAAUGAAAAGAAAUGAACAAAGCCUCCAAGAAAUAUGGGACUAUGUGAAAAGACCAAAUCUACAUUUGACUGGUGUACCUGAAAGUGACGGGGAGAAUGGAACCAAGUUACAAAAUACUCUUCAGGAUGUUAUCCAGGAGGACUUCCCUAACCUAGCAAGGCAGGAAAACAUUCAAAUUUAGGAAAUACAAAGAACACCACAAAGAUACUUCUUAAGAAGAGCAACUCCAAGACACACAAUUGUCAGAUUCACCAAGGAUGAAAUGAAGGAAAAAAUGUUAAGGGCAGCCAGAGAGAAAGGUCGGGUCACCCACAAAGGGGAGCCCAUCAGACUAACAGCGGAUCUCUCAGCAGAAACCUUACAAGCCAGAAGAGAGUGGGGGCCAAUAUUCAACAUUUUUAAGAAAAGAAUUUUCAAACCAGAAUUUCAUAUCCAGCCAAACUAAGCUUCAUAAGUGAAGGAGAAAUAAAAUCCUUUACAGACAAGCAAAUGUUGAGAGAUUUUGUCACCACCAGGCCUGCUUUACAAGAGCUCCUGAAGGAAGCACUAACCAUGGAAAGGAACAACUGGUAUCAGCCACUGCCACUGCAAAAACAUGCCAAAGUGUAAAGACCAUUGACACUAUGAAGAAACUGCAUCAAUUAAUGGGCAAAAUAACCAGCUAACAUCAUAGUGACAGGAUCAAAUUCACCCAUAACAAUAUUAAUCUUAAAUGUAAAUAGGCUAAAUGCCCCAACUGAAAAACAGACUGACAAAUUGGAUAAAAAGUCAAGACCCAUCGUUGUACUGUAUUCAGGAGACCCAUUUCAUGUGCAAAGAUACAAAUAGGCUCAAAAUAAAGGGAUGGAGGAAGAUCUACCGAGCAAAUGGAAAGCAAAAAAAAAAUCAGGGGUUGCAAUCCUCGUUUCUGACUAAAAAAAAAAAAAAAGAUUUCAAACCAACAAAGAUCAAAAGAGAGAAAGAAGGGCAUUACAUAAUGGUAAAGGGAUCAAUUCAAUAAGAAGAACUAACUAUCCUAAAUACAUAUGCACCCCAAACAGGAGCACCCAGAUUCAUAAAGCAAGUCCUUGGAGACCUACAAAGAGAUUUAGACUCCCACACAGUAAUAAUGGGAGACUUUAAUACCCCACUGUCAAUAUUAGACAGAUCAAUGAGACAGAAGGUUAACAAGCAUAUCCAGGACUUGAACUCAGCUCUGGACCAAGGGGACCGAAUAGACAUCUACAGAACUCUCCACCCCAAAUCAACAGAAUAUACAUUCUUCUCAGCACCACAUCACGCUUAUUCUAAAAUUGACCACAUAAUUGGAAGUAAAACACUCCUCAGCAAAUAUAAAAGAACAGAAAUCACAACAAACUGUCUGUCAGACCACAGUGCAAUCAAAUUAGAACUCAGGAUUAAGAUUCACUCAAAACUGCACAACUACAUGGAAAUUGAACUACCUGCUCCUGAAUGACUACUGGGUAAAUAAUGAAAUGAAGGCAGAAAUAAAGAUGUUGUUUGAAACCAAUGAGAACAAAGACACAACAUACCAGAAUCUCUGGGACACAUUUAAAGCAGUGUGUAGAGGGAAAUUUAGAGCACUAAAUGCCCACAAGAGAAAGCAGGAAAGAUCUAAAAUCAACACCCUAACAUCACAAUUAAAAGAACUAGAGAAGCAAGAGCAAACACAUUCAAAAGCUAGCAGAAGGCAAGAAAUUACUAAGAUCAGAGCAGAACUGAUGGAGAUAGAGACACAAAAAACCCUUCCAAAAAAUCAGUGAAUCUAGGAGCUGGUUUUUUGAAAAGAUCAACAAAAUUGAUAGACUGCUAGCAAGACUAAUAAAGAAGAAAAGAGAGAAGAAUCAAAUAGACACAAUAAAAAAUGAUAAAGGGGACAUCACCACCAAUCCCUCAGAAAUACAAACUACCAUCAGGAAUACUAUAAACACCUCUACACGAAUAAACUAGAAAAUCUAGAAGAAAUGAAUAAAUUCCUGGACACAUACACCCUCCCAAGACUAAACCAGGAAGAAGUUGAAUCCCUGAAUAGACCAAUAACAGGCUCUGAAAUUGAGGCAAUAAUUAAUAGCCUACCAACCAAAAAAAGUCCAGGACCAGACGGAUUCACAGCCAAAUUCUACUGGAGGUACAAAGAGGAGUUGGUACCAUUCCUUCGGAAACUAUUCCAAUCAAUAGAAAAAGAGAGAAUCCUCCCUAACUCAUUUCAUGAGAACAGCAUCAUCCUGAUACCAAAGCCUGGCAGAGACACAACAAAAAAAGAAAAUUUAAGCCAAUAUCCCUGAUGAACAUCAAUGCAAAAAUCCUCAAUAAAAUACUGGCAAACGAAAUCCAGCAGCACAUCAAAAAGCUUAUCCACCAUGAUCAAGCCGGCUUCAUCCCUGGGAUUCAAGGCUGGUUCAACAUAUGCAAAUCAAUAAAUGUAAUCCAUCACAUAAACAGAACCAACGACAAAAACCACAUGAUUAUCUCAAUAGAUGUAGAAAAGGCCUUCGACAAAAAUUCAACAACCCUUCAUGCUAAAAACUCUCAAUAAACUAUGUAUUGAUGACAUAUUUCAAAAUAAUAAGAGCUAUUUAUGACAAACCCACAGUCAAUAUCAUACUGAAUGGGCAAAAACUGGAAGCAUUCCCUUUGAAAAUUGGCACAAGACAAGGAUGCCCUCUCUCACCACUCCUAGUCAACAUAGUGGUGGAAGUUCUGGCCAGGGCAAUCAAGCAAGAGAAAGAAAUAAAGGGUAUUCAAUUAGGAAAAGAGGAAGUCAAAUUGUCUCUGUUUGCAGAUGACAUGACUGUAUAUUUAGAAAACACCAUCAUCUCAGCCCAAAAUCUCCUUAAGCUGAUAAGCAACUUCAGCAAAGUCUCAGGACACAAAAUCAUUGCACAAAAAUCACAAGUAUUCCUAUAUACCAAUAACAGACAAACAGAGAGCCAAAUCAUGAAUGGACUCCCAUUCACAAUUACUACAAAGAAAAUAAAAUACCUAGGAAUCCAACUUACAAGGGAUGUGAAGGACCUCUUCAAGGAGAACUACAAACCACUGCUCAACAAAAUAAAAGAGGACAAACAAACGGAAGAACAUUCUAUGCUCAUGGAUAGGAAGAAUCAAUAUCGUGAAAAUGGCCAUACUGCCCAAGGUAAUUUAUAGAUUCAAUGCCAUCCCCAUCAAGCUACCAAUGACUUUCUUCACAGAAUUGGAAAAAACUACUUUAAAGUUCAUAUGGAACAAAAAAAGAGCCCACAUUGCCAAGACAAUCCUAAGCAAAAAGAACAAAGCUGGAGGCAGCACGCUACCUGACUUCAAACUAUAGUACAAGACUACAGUAACCAAAACAGCAUGGUAGUGGUACCAAAACAGAUAUAUAGACAAAUGGAACAGAACAGAGGCCGCAGAAAUAACACCACACAUCUACAACCAUCUGAUCUUUGACAAACCUGACAAAAACAAGCAUGGGGAAAGGAUUUCCUGUUUAAUAAAUGGUGCUGGGAAAACUGGCUAGCCAUAUGUAGAAAGCUGAAACAGGAUCCCUUCCUUACACUUUAUACAAAAAUUAACUCAAGAUGUAUUAAAGACUUAAACAUAAGACCUAAAACCAUAAAAACCCUAGAAGAAAACCUAGGCAAUACUAUUCAGGACAUAGGCAUGGAUAAAUGCUUCAUGACUAAAACACCAAAAGCAAUGGCAACAAAAGCCAAAAUAGACAAAUGGGAUCUAAUUAAACUAAAGAGCUUCUGCACAGCAAAAGAAACUAUCAUCACAGUGAACAGGCAACCUACAGAAUGGGGAAAAAUUUUGCAAUCUACCCAUCUGGCAAAGGGCUAAUAUCCAGAAGCUACAAAGAACUUAAACAAAUUUACAACAAAAAAAUCAAACAACCCCAUCAACAAGUGGGCGAAGGAUAUGAACAGACACUUCUCAAAAGAAGACAUUUAUGCAGCCAAAAGACAUAUGAAAAAAUGCUCAUCAUCACUGGUCACCAGAGAAAUGCAAAUCAAAACCACAAUGAGAUGCCAUCUCACGCCAGUUAGAAUGGUGAUCAUUAAAAAGUCAGGAAACAACAGAUGCUGGAGAGGAUGUGGAGAAAUAAGAACACUUUUACACUGUUGGUGGGAGUGUAAAUCAGUUCAACCAUUGUGGAAGACAAUGCAGCGAUUCCUCAAGGAUCUAGAACUAGAAAUACCAUUUGACCCAGCCAUCCCAUUACUGGGUAUAUACCCAAAGGAUUAUAAAUCAUGAUAAGGACACAUGCACAUGUAUGUUUAUUGCGGCACUAGUCACAGUAGCAAAGACUUGGAACCAACCCAGAUGUCCAUCAAUGAUAGACUGGAUUAAGAAAAUGUGGCACAUAUACACCGUGGAAUACUAUGCAGCCAUAAAAAAGGAUGAGUUCAUGUCCUUUGCAGGGACAUGGAUGAAGCUGGAAACCAUCAUUCUCAGCAAACUAUCACAAGGACAGAAAACCAAACACUACAUGUUCUCACUCAUAAGUGGGAGUUGAACAAUGAGAAUACACAGACACAGGGCAGGGAACAUCACACACCGAGGCCUGUGGGGGGGUUGGGGGUUAGGGAAGGGAUAGCAUUAGGAGAACUACCUAAUGUAAAUCACCAGUUGAUGGGUGCAGCAAACCACCAUGGCACAGGUAUACCUAUGUAACAAACAUGCAUGUUGUGCACAUGUACCCCAGAUCUUAAAGUAUAAUAAAAUAAAAAAUAAAAAAAAUCUUCCCUACUUUUUAAACUGUAUGUUGCUUUGUAGCAAUACAUUAUGCACAUUAUAAAGUGUUUUAAUUAGAAAUUUUAGAAGAUAUGAUAAAGAAAAAUAAUUUAAAUAACAAUUUUUAUUCAAAAUACAAAUAAUAGGGCUGGGCGCGGUGGCUGACGCCUGUAAUCCUAGCACUUUGGCAGGCCGAGGCGGGCAGAUCACGAGGUCAGGAGUUCAAGACCAGCCUGGCCAACAUGGUGAAACCCUGUCUCUACUAAAAAUACAAAAAAUUAGCUGGGCGUAGUGGCGGGUGCCUGUAAUCCCAGCUACUCGGGAGACUAAGGCACAAGAAUCGCUUGAACCCGGGAGGCGGAGGUUGCAGUGAGCCGAGAUCGCACCACUGCACUCCAGCCUAGGCGACAGAGUGAGACUGUGUCUCAAAAAAGAAAAAAAAAGAAAAGAAAAGAAAAAGAAAAAAGAAUAUUUUGCCCUUAUAACAUUAUUAAUUAUAUACUUUCAAGUGAGAGCAAUAUGACUAAUUAUGCUUAAUUAUUUUUGAAAAUGAUGCUUUAACAAUUUGUAAUGCAGACAUUUGAUGGUCUGGUUCUAUGUUGAGUUCAUGUUGAUACUUGGUCUUAAGGACAGUUAGAGCUGAUAAAAAUAACUUGUGCAUAGACCAGGCGCGGUGGCUCACGCCUGUAAUACCAGCACUUUGGGAGUCUGAGGCGGGCGGAUCACGAGAUCAGGAGAUGGAGACCAUCCUGGCUAACACGGUGAAGCCCCGUCUCUAUUAAAAAUACAAAAAAAAUUAGCCAGGUGCGGUGGCAGGCACCUGUAGUCCCAGCUACUUGGAAGGCUGAGGCAGGAGAAUGGUGUGAACCUUGCAGUGAGCCGAGAUCACGCCACUGCACUACAGCCUGGGCAACAGAGCGAAACCCCGUCUCAAAAAAAAAAAAAAAGAAAGAAAAAAAAAAGAAAUAACUUCUGCACACAUCAUAACAUUCAUACAUAAUGAAUCAUUGAUAUACUCAUUAAAAUGUGACUCAUCCAGGAAAAUCCCAUCCCUAAAUUAUUUAAAGUUUUUGUUUUCCCUCAGCUACUAUUUCUGUUCUACCUUAUGCAAACUAAUGAGAAACCAUUGUCCCAAGACUGGUGGCCUCCUGGCAUGGUUGUGCAACAGCUGUUGUCAAACUCCAGAGUCUAAAGUGCACCACGAAAGCCAGAUGGCAGGCCAGAUCCAGCCUCCCUGCUAAAUGAAAUGUUCACUGGCCAGGGAGAAACAACCACGUGGAAAAUUAAAUAAACCCAUGACAUUUGUAGCCAGCAGCUCGGGUGUUUUGUAGGGUUUUCCCUGAGAAGUGGGGACUAAUCGCAUGAAUCACUUUUUUUUUCUUUUUAGAGUCUUAUCUAUUUGUGAAUAAAUGUUUCCAAUUAAAGCAUUGCUACUAAGCCUCAGUUUUCUCACCUCUACCAUGGAGUUAAAAUGUCUACUUCACACUGUCCAUAAAAGAAUUAAGAUGGCCGGGCGCGGUGGCUCACGCCUGUAAUCCCAGCACUUUGGGAGGCCGAGGCGGACGGAUCACGAGGUCAGGAGAUCGAGACCAUCCUGGCUAACACAGUGAAACCCCGUCUCUACUAAAAAUAUGAAAAACUAGCCUGGCGUGGUGGUGGACGCCUGUAGUCCCAGCUACUCAGGAGGCUAAGGCAGGAGAAUGGCGUGAACCCAGGAGGCGGAGCUUGCAGUGAGCCUAGAUUGUGCCACUGCACUCCAGCCUGGGCGACAGAGCAAGACUCCGUCUCAAAAAAAAAAAAAAAAAAAAAAAAAAAAAAAAAAAAAGCCAGGCAUGGUUGGUGGCUCACACCUGUAAUCUCAGAACUUUGGGAAACAGGCAGGAUCACUUCAGCCCAGAAGUGUGGGACCAGUCUGGGCAACAUAGUGAGAUCCUGUCUCUUAAAAAAAAAAAGAAAAGAAUCAAAAUAAAACAAGAAAACAAAAACACAGAACAAGUGCAUCAUCAUAGUGGUGACAAUUUUUAGGAAACUUUUUUUGUUUUUUUCUGUGUGAACCUAACUCAUCUAAUAAGGGAGUGUGUGAACAUUUCCAUGUUGGUCCAUUUUUUAUGUGCCUAAAUGGACAAAGUCACCCAGGACCUGGCUGCUGGACUCAUCCUUAGGAAGAAUAAAGAAAAAGGAAGUUUAUCUCUAGCAUCUUUCUCUUGCCCUUGUUUUCUUCCUGGCCACAGUCAUGCCCUGGAUUUCAGUGUCUCUAAACAUCUAGCAGCCUCUCACCCAGCAUAACCCCUGUUGAGGUCCAGGGCACGAUGGUGGGAGUGGGUGCAGAAGAGACAGAGAGACCACUGGUUUGAGUGUCUAGGGUUUGGGUCCUCAGGAAGAACUUGGCCCGGCGCGGUGGCUCACGCCCGUAAUCCAAACACUUCGGAGACCGAGGCGGUUGGAUCACCUGAGGUCAGGAGUUUGAGACCAGCCUGGCCAACAUGGUGAAACAACGUCUCUACUAAAAAUACAAAAAAUUAGCCAGGCGUGGUGGCAGGCACCUGUAAUCCCAGCUACUCAGGAGCUUGAGGCAGGAGAAUCACCUGAACUCGGGCCGCGGAGGUUGCAGUGAGCCGAGAUUGCGCCAGUGCACUCCACCCUGGGCAACAAGAGUGAAACUCCGUCUCAAAAAAAGAAAAAAAAAGAAGAAGAACUUCUUGACUUGACUCAGCAGGACUUUUUCCAUGGGUCUAAAGCUAGGUGUGAAGAGAGUGAGCUCGUGGUGAGAGGAACUUGUUCAUCAAAAGGAGUCCAUGCCCAGUGGCAGAAGUGGAGAGGUGGGUAUGGGACACACAGGGAAGCUGCUCUCUUCUGUUGUCUGUGGCUUCUGUUGGAGGAUGUGCUGUGGGAAUGCAAGGAGGAGAUGGAAGGAAGGUGUCAAUAUAGCUUUAACAAAGGAAAAAAAAAUGAAAACACCGAAACCACCCUUGCAAAAAUUGUAACAGUGAGAAAAUUAUGACAUUGAAAGAUAUCCAAUCUAACCCAACUCCUUCUUGCCUUUAACCUCCAAAUUGCACUUAGUCAUUCCUGAGCAAAGGCCAAGCUAACUUUGGGAGAAAUUUCGUUUACAGUUUAAAUGAUAAUAGCCCUUCCCAAAACUAACCUGUCUUUGUAAAAAUGAUGAAAGGCCACCAGGUUAGGGAGGAUGAGAGGGGCCUGAAUGCAGGCUUAGAUAAACAAUUACCCGCCAUUGUUUCAGAGGUCACAAGAUUUGUAACUUCCCCAAUUAGUCCUGUAAAAUGAUAUCACUGUGGCCUUUUGAGAUGUCUUUGCAGUUAUUUUUUGUUUUGUUUGCUUUGAGACAAGGUCUUGCUCUGUCACCAAGGCUGGAGUGCAGUGAUCAUAGCUCACUGCAGUCUCUAUCUCCUGGGCUCAAGUGAACCUUCCACCUCAGCCUUCCAAGUAGCUGGGACUGCAGGUGCAUGCCACCAUGCCUGGCCAGUUUUGUUGUUUUUUGGUUCUGGGGUGUUUUUUGCUUGUUUGUUUGUUUUGUUUUUGUAUUUUUAGUAGACAUGAUGUCUGGCUCUGUUGUUCAGGCUGGUCUCAAACUCCUGGACUCAAGCGAUCCUCCUGCCUCAGCCUCCCAAACUGCUGGGGUUACAGGCACGAGCCACCUUGCCCAGCUCAGGCUUUUCCAUUUUGGAAAACCAGAUGACUCCACCCAGAUCCAAGACCGGUCCUAUGGCCCCACUCAGAAGUGGACUCAGUGCACGAGGACCAUUUUCCACAUCCCUAUGAUUGCAUCCCAAUCAAUCAGCAGCACCCAUUCCCUAGCCACCUGCCCAGCAAACUAUCUUUUUUUUUCUUUUUUUCUUGAGACUCUGUCGCCCAGGCUGUAGUGCAGUGGUGCAAUCAUGGCUCACAGCAGCUUCAACCUCCCUGGCCCAGCCUCCCAAGUCACUGGGACUACAGGUGUACACCACCACACCUGGCUAAUUUUUAAAUUUUUUGUAGAGAUGGUGUCUUGCUGUGUUGUCCAGGCUGAUCUCAAACUCAAGGACUCAAGCAAUCCUCCUACCUCAGACUCGAAAAGUGCUGGGAUUACAGGUGUAAGCUGCCAUGCCCAACCCAAACUAUCUUGAAAAAGCCUUCAAAUUUGAGAGGAGGCUGAUAUAAGUAAUAAUAAGACUUCAGUCUCCUGUUUAACUGGCUCUAUGUAUAUAAAACUCUUUCUCUAUUGCAAUUCCCCUGUCUUCAUAAAUUGGCUCUAUCUGAGCAGCAGGCAAAAUGAACCAAUUGGGUGGUUACAACAGUAUCAGCAUAUACAGUAGAAUUGUAAUAUCCAUCAUAUACCAACUGCAAAUUAAUUUUAAAAGAUAUAUUGUUAAAACCAUAUAAGUGAUAUAAGUAAUUUACAGAAGAAUAAAUUCAAUUGAACAAUAAAUAUGAAAUUAUUUUCAAC